ACUAAGCGGAGGAAAAGAAACUAACAAGGAUUCCCUCAGUAGCUGCGAGCGAACAGGGAACUAGCCCAGCACCGAAUCUCGCAGGCUCUCCCCUGCCGAGAAAUGUGGUGUUUGGGAGGACCCGCCUAUCCCGGGAUCCUGCGGCGCGUUCAAGUCCUUCUUGAAUGGGGCCACGGCCCGCAGAGGGUGCCAGGCCCGUAGUGACCGCUGCGGCUUCCGGGAGGGUCUCUCCUUAGAGUCGGGUUGCUUGAGAGUGCAGCCCUAAGCGGGUGGUAAACUCCAUCUAAGGCUAAAUAUGACCACGAGACCGAUAGCGAACAAGUACCGUGAGGGAAAGUUGAAAAGAACUUUGAAGAGAGAGUUCAAAAGUACGUGAAACCGUUCUGGGGUAAACGUGAGAAGUCCGAAAGUCGAACGGGAGAGAUUCACGUCCAUCCGGUGCCUGGCGAGGCGCUGGCCAGAUGGGCCGCUCGCCCGCACGGAGCAAUCCGUGACGGUGUCGUAGGCGGUUGAAUUGUCCACUCGGCUGGUGUCUUCUGCUAGGCCCGGUGGGCCGCACUUCUCUCCACGUUGGACGUCGCGACCCGUUGGGCGCCGGUCUGAGGCCUGGGUGGUAGUCUGUUCGUCCGCUUCGGCGUUCGUCGGGCAGACCCCCGGUGUUCCCGACCGUCGGCUCGACGGUAAGUUUGCGCGGAGUUGAUUCGCCGCCCCUCGGGGCGGGCGUUGGGCCCUGGGCAAGCUCGUGCGUGCGUUUCGGAUGACGGUCCUCCGGUCCGGCUCUGACGCCGCAUAGCUGCUGGUUCCGGUGUGCCUCCAACGGAAGAAUCGUAGACUCCUGUCUGCGGCGCUUGAGCUUUGGGUAAUUUCACGACCCGUCUUGAAACACGGACCAAGGAGUCUAACAUGUGCGCGAGUCAUUGGGUUACUCAAACCUAAAGGCGCAAUGAAAGUGAAGGUUCCGCCUCGCGCGGACCGAGGGAAGAUGGGGCGUGCGUCAGCGCGGCCCCCGCAUUCCCGGGGCGUCUCGUUCUCAUUGCGAGUUGAGGCGCACCCAGAGCGUACACGUUGGGACCCGAAAGAUGGUGAACUAUGCCUGGCCAGGACGAAGUCAGGGGAAACCCUGAUGGAGGUCCGUAGCGAUUCUGACGUGCAAAUCGAUCGUCGGAGCUGGGUAUAGGGGCGAAAGACUAAUCGAACCAUCUAGUAGCUGGUUCCCUCCGAAGUUUCCCUCAGGAUAGCUGGUGCUCAAUUGAGUCUCAUCCGGUAAAGCGAAUGAUUAGAGGCCUUGGGGCCGAAACGACCUCAACCUAUUCUCAAACUUUAAAUGGGUGAGAUCUCCGGCUUGCUUAAAGCUAUGAAGCCGCGAGAUUUGGAUCGGAGUGCCAAGUGGGCCAUUUUUGGUAAGCAGAACUGGCGCUGUGGGAUGAACCAAACGCCGAGUUAAGGCGCCCGAAUCGACGCUCAUGGGAUACCAUGAAAGGCGUUGGUUGCUUAAGACAGCAGGACGGUGGCCAUGGAAGUCGGAAUCCGCUAAGGAGUGUGUAACAACUCACCUGCCGAAGCAACUAGCCCUGAAAAUGGAUGGCGCUGAAGCGUCGUGCCUAUACUCGGCCGUCAGCACGGCAAUGAGGGGUGCGAGGCUCGCCCUCGGGCGGGUCCGCCCCGUAAAGCCCUGACGAGUAGGAGGGUCGCGGCGGUGAGCGCAGAAGGGUCUGGGCGUGAGCCUGCCUGGAGCCGCCGUCGGUGCAGAUCUUGGUGGUAGUAGCAAAUACUCCAGCGAGGCCCUGGAGGACUGACGCGGAGAAGGGUUUCGUGUGAACAGCCGUUGCACACGAGUCAGUCGAUCCUAAGCCCUAGGAGAAAUCCGAUGUCGAUGGGGACCUUUUCAAUUUAUUGGGUCGGUCCCCGUUGGGCGAAAGGGAAUCCGGUUCCUAUUCCGGAACCCGGCAGCGGAACCGUCAUUAGUCGGGCCCCUCAUUAUGAGAAGCUCGUCGGGGUAACCCAAGAGGACCCGGAGACGCCGUCGGGAGAUCGGGGAAGAGUUUUCUUUUCUGUAUGAGCGUUCGAGUUCCCUGGAAUCCUCUAGCAGGGAGAUAGGGUUUGGAACGCGAAGAGCACCGCAGUUGCGGCGGUGUCCCGAUCUUCCCCUCGGACCUUGAAAAUCCGGGAGAGGGCCACGUGGAGGUGUCGCGCCGGCUCGUACCCAUAUCCGCAGCAGGUCUCCAAGGUGAAGAGCCUCUAGUC
rnacentral:rRNA from 1 species